rnacentral:lncRNA from 1 species
AAAAAUUGUCAAGAAAUUCAUUCAGCUGAAAGGAUCCAGUUAAGCAAUUCAGGCACAGCACAAAUCAAAGGUGAAAACCAUAGAAAGAUUUUAUAGCACUAUAUCUACCUAGUGGAGUUUCCCAAAUCAAAAGGAGGUAAAAGAGGGAGAAGCAUAAUCAUCCAUGCAGAUUUAUACUUGAUAAGACGAUCUAUCGUGAUACAACUUCCAUAUUCUUUUAUAUUAACCUAUAUACCUGCAAUCAAAUAUCAGAACAGACAAUGUGAGUUCAUAAACACUAAUCAGGCUUCUUUCAUAUAUAAGAUAAAUGGCUACUAAAAAUUACUGUAGAGUAGGCUUAUUAGUGCUUAGUAUCCUGCAGCAAAUAGAAUAUAGUCAUAUCUGCUAGCUAAACCAAAUAGAAUUUGUCAUAUAACAAUAACAUACAUACUAGUGCAUUAAUAUUACUAUGGUCUCCUCCCCUUCCCCAACAACACACAACAAAUUCAGCUUCAAUAUUUGCAACAAGCAACUAACUCAGUCAUUUUAGAGGAAAAGUUUAAAUACAAGAGUUCGGUUUUGGCAAUGUUGAACUACGUAAUAACCAGUCGAUAAUCUUACCAUUUUAGCAUUGCCGACCGUUUUAAAUUGUGUAUGACGAUAAGGAGUUAUGACAUGGCAAAUACGCAGCUGUCAUUGACCAUUAUAGAUAUCCAUGAAAGACUAGUCUAGACAUUCUCAUUCCUCGAUAUUCAUUCGUCUUUUCUCCUUAUGUUUGUUUGCAAUGAAAACGUUCCUAACUCCCCUCACCCCCUUCCCUCUCCCCAUCGCCAUAGGUAAUAUUUUCUUAACUCGAAAGAAAGGGAUGCCAACAAUUUUUCUCUAGAACCUUUCCAUAUUGUGUAGGUUUAAAGCGAUGCCUGAAAUAUAUUUCUCUAUAUUUUAUACAGACUAACUGCCAGAAUUUUCCUAGACACCACAUGAAGCAAUAAUGUACGAUCUCCCGUGAACUAGGCCAGCCCUGAAAUGUCAGGGCAAUUUAUAACAUCUUAGCCCACAAACAACACCCACAUAAAGGAGAUGUAAUAAUCAAAUAAGCAUUUUCUAUUUUGAAAUUUAUACGAAGCUAAAGAGUACAAAUGGGUAACAACAAACCCCUUGUUCAUCAACAAGGGGCCACCAUUGCAUAUAAUGUUAUACUAUAGAAGACUAAAGAACUUGAGAAUAUGACCCAUUUUGUCAAAAUAUGAACCAAAAGCAGUAGAUACAAAAUGACCAUUUUCAAUGAACCACUUGCUGAAAAUCAAUAUUCAUUAUUCCAAGAUCUCUCUAAAUAACAUGCACAUACAGACACACCAAUUUACAAUCAAAUAAUAAAAUACCUACGGGGUUAUCAUAUCAACAUUGUUAGCAUGAACUCAUUAGCAAUGGUAAUCUCCACUACUUCUUUGUUUUGGUGAAUGAAAAUAUAUGGCAAGAGAAGCCCUCCCCAUUCCAAUACCAUGACAAACCACUAUGUCUGCAAUGACUUACAGUGUGAUUGCAAAUCAUGAACCAACCAAAACCUCUAAACUCAAAUUCAAGUUAUGCAAUGUAGCACCAAGCCACCAACCAUUACCAUCUCAAAGUACUAUUUUUAUACCUGGUUAACGAUGCAUACAUUUGUGGUUACUUCGGAUGGCUGUCUAAUGGAUACAUUAAUUGUUAAUCCAUCAACUAUACAAUACAUAUGAUUAAUCAUGAAUUUAUAUGUCAUUAAUCAUACCUAAAAAUAGUGUAAAAAUUAGCAUAUAAGAAUAUAGGCAUUGAUUUAGAACGAUCAAAACCAACCCCUUCGUCACAAUCUCCAUGGUUUUAUACAAACACAUAAAUUUCAAGCCUAUAAUUUCAUUAAGUCUAACUCCACCUCACAAGCUAGCUCGCGACCAGUUCUUUUUUAAUCUUGCAUUCAACUAAUUUGAAAGAGUGUGAGCUUAGCGCAGCCAUAAAGUUGUGGCUUAGUAACUAGGCCACAAGUUCAAAUCAUGGAAAUAACAUAUAUGCUAAUUUGAGACUUUAACACUUAACACCUCCGGCAUAGUACGAAAACAAGUCUAUACAGCAAAAAGGAAAGAAUGUGAAAAAACCUUAUUUCAUGACGAAUUGGCAUACACAACAACGCCAUCAUGGUAAUUGUUCAUCUCCACUGUCACCAUAUGCAAUCAUGGACUCACUCACACCAGAACCAUCAGAAUCCUCAUGAAGAAUCCCAUGCCUAUAAGCAAUGUGAUUCAGAGUAGUUCUCAAUCCAUAGAAAUCUUCCUCAUCUUCUUCCAUCAACUCCGAAAGCCUCAUCACCGCUUCUCUCAAAUGCAUCCUCACACCACCACCGUCACCGUCUUCUCCUUGAUCUUCCUCCUCCACAAGCCGAAACCGACAAAUCGGACACGAAUCAUGAUUCAAAAGCCAUGGCGUUAUGCAAUCACAAUGAUACAAGUGGUUAUUUUCUAUCAUUUUCAGUCACGUGAUUGUGAUAGUUUUUAGUUUGAAUGAUGCAAUUUAUGGUUUGUAGGUUAUAUAAUGAUGUAUAUGUGAUGCAGAUUUUUGUUGAGUUUAUAUGCAUAUUGUGAUAAUUUUAAUUGUGCAUUCGUAAAGAUUUGAGAAAAAAAUCUAUGUUUGUCAUUUUCCAACCCGGACACGUCUCUAUCUUGACCCGUCUUAUUUUAGACAAGUCUCUCACGCGUCCCAACCUAAUUAGGGACGAAUUCAGGUUCAAAAAUUGACCCGAUCAAUAUUUAGAGGGUGAAUGACAUACUUAACCCGUCUCUACCCGUCUCAUACUCACCCCUAGCAUUGACUAUAUAUAAAUCUAUACAUUGAAAUUACAUUUUUUCCAUAAGAGAUGAAUAAUGGAUUGAAUUGGAUCAAUUUGGGGUUUUUAAAUGAAUGGUGAUGAGUCAUCAGCUUCAUGUACUUUAGUCUAAUAGAUUAGCUAAUGAUGAUUAUGUAAAUGAUUUUUUUUGGUAAGCUGUCUUAUUUGCUUAGCCAUCGGAUGAUACAAGACUGAUGUUAACUCGUGCCCGUUAUUGACACUAAAAUUGUAUAUUUCUGAAAUUUUAUCUAUACAAAUAAGGUCGCACUACCCCACCAUGGGGUAGGUUUGUAUUUUUUAUCAACUUAUUGCCAACAUAAUUAAAUUAAACAUUUAACCUAUUGCCAACAUAAAUUAAACGUUUAUUUUAUAAUUUACCAUAAAUUGAAGUAACUACUUACUCAACUGAUUUAACCGUUUAUUAAAGUAAUACUAUAACGGAUCACUUACACAACUCAAUUAACCAUUUCACAUAACAUUCCAAGUUCCUAUCAAUUGAGAGAAGGAUAAAAUUCUCCGAAUGUUAGUUCGAAUAACGUAAUUUCAAUAGUAAAUAGUAUUGGAAAAUAAUAUUUUAAUAAAAAAAUUGUGAAUUAAAACAUAUUUUUGGAAAAAUAAUACUAUAAAAUCAAAUAUAUGAGUAUAAUAUCUAUGUGCUAUUACUGUAAAGAUUUAUAUACAGUUAAUAUAUCAUUCCUCAUUCAUUUAUAUUAUUUUUUUGAAGAGUCAAUGAUAAUAAAACAUAAACAGUGAUGAUAUAAUGAUAGUGUGAAUGGGGAUCAGUCGUUCCACUUUUUUGUAUCUCAUUAUGUCCCAAUCCGAUGGAAAGUUGACAUAUGCUUAAAAAUAAAAAUAAAAAUAAAAAAAAAAUAUUUUUAUGUUAUUUGGUGGUACACGGUUGACUUGGGACAUGAGGACAUGAAGUUUUUUGGACAAAAAAUCUUACUUCAUGAUAGUGUAUGAACUCAUAUAUUAUGAAUAUAUAUCUUUGAGAUGAAAUAUUGAUGGUAAGGAAGUUCUAACUUAACUUGCACCACACGAGUGUCCAUCUAAUUGCGUUUCUUAGUCAAUGAAUAACAAUAAAACCUUCACGCAUCUUAAAGGAAUGAUGAAGCUGGCACUUGGCAGCACUUUGAAGAUAUCUAGAUGAACUGGGAAAACUGUCUUUGGAAUUAAGAUUCGUGUGGGACAUUAUGGCCGAGAGGUAGUUUAGGAAUUAUGAUUCAUGGGAGUAGGGGUAUAAGCGGUUUUAAACCACAAAAUCGGUAGAACUGAACCAAAUCAAAUCUUAAACUAUGGUUCGGUUUGAUUUCGUGAUUCGGUUUAGUUAUUAUUUUAGAAACCAUUUUCAGUUCAUGUUUUAGAAAUUUAGAAAUUGUUCGAAUCAAACCACAAUGCAUAUUAAAGAAAUAGAUUAGGGAAUUAUAUUUUAUUGUUGUUUAAAUUCUUCAAGCAAUUUUGUUGCUAAAAUUAUCAAUUUUAUUUGAAUUAUAGUAUUAUAUGUUACUAAAUUGUUAUUAUGUUACUAUUAUAUAUGUUAUUACUUACUAAAUUGUUUUCCACUGUAAACAUAUCUUCCAACUUUUAUAGUAUUGAGUUUGAAAUUAACAUAUACCAUGUAUUGUUAUACAUGUAUUAUUAUAUGUGUUAGUAAUUGUAAAUUGCAAGGUUAUAUAUAUAACUAUUAUAUAUUUUAGUAUUUGAUAUAUAUGUUACUAAUCGUUAAUUGUAUUGUUAUAUAUGUUACUAAAAAAUAUAUAUGUUACUAAUUAUGGAUGCAUUAUUAUAUAUGUGAUAACUCAUUUUUUGCUUCAUAAAUUACAUAAUUGUUAUAUAUAUUACUAACAAAUAAUUAUGAAUUUCAAUUUUUUUACUCAUCUAUAUAUGAUUCAUAAUUUUUGAUAAUAAUAAUAGUAGUGUUUUUCCCUUUAUGGACAAAUAAUAUAUCUUGUAAUAUAUUUUGAUGCAAGAUUUUUGAUAAAUAAUGAUAAAGCAGCAGCUUUGACCUUUAACCAGGACACAACUCAGACACCAUAGAAUAUCCAUAGUACUCAACUAUACUCAGAUGAUUCAAUCUCUAGACAAUUUCAUUUCAUACAGUAAAUAUAACUAUUUUUGGCAGGAAACAUUAUCAUCUGCUGUAAAUAGAAAAAAGUAUAAGAUAAAACAAAAAAAUUGUCAAGAAAUUCAUUCAGCUGAAAGGAUCCAGUUAAGCAAUUCAGGCACAGCACAAAUCAAAGGUGAAAACCAUAGAAAGAUUUUAUAGCACUAUAUCUACCUAGUGGAGUUUCCCAAAUCAAAAGGAGGUAAAAGAGGGAGAAGCAUAAUCAUCCAUGCAGAUUUAUACUUGAUAAGACGAUCUAUCGUGAUACAACUUCCAUAUUCUUUUAUAUUAACCUAUAUACC